GUAGGGAAUAUUGGACAAUGGGGGGAACCCUGAUCCAGCCAUGCCGCGUGGAGGAAGACUGCCCUCUGGGUUGUAAACUCCUUUUAUAUGGGAAGAACCGUCCUCAUUAAUGAGUGACCUGACGGUACCAUAGGAAUAAGCACCGGCUAACUCCGUGCCAGCAGCCGCGGUAAUACGGAGGGUGCAAGCGUUAUCCGGAUUCACUGGGUUUAAAGGGUGCGUAGGCGGAUAAAUAAGUCAGUGGUGAAAUCAACGGGCUCAACCUGUUAACUGCCAUUGAUACUGUGUAUCUUGAAUAUGAGAGAGGUAGGCGGAAUGUUGCAUGUAGCGGUGAAAUGCUUAGAUAUGCUACGGAACACCGAUUGCGAAGGCAGCUUGCUGAACCAUUAUUGACGCUGAGGCACGAAAGCGUGGGGAGCGAACAGGAUUAGAAACCCUUGUAGUCC
rnacentral:rRNA from 1 species